CACAGUUCUCUGGUCCUGGGUUUGAAAGUCAGCUCUGGCAUUCCUGUGUUGUGUCUGUCUGUUCUCCGCUCACAUGGGUCGUUAAUGCAGUUUUCCAGACAAUUUCACCAUCUUCCAUGAACCUACGUGUUGCUGGAGGGAGCUGGAGCAAACCCACGCAAGUGCUUGGAAAAUAUGCAAACUCAACACCAUGCUGCCCUGCAUUUCACAAUAGAACAACCACAAAAUUUUCUUCGUCAAAUAUUGAAGUAUGAUGACAGGAAAGUGUAAGAGGGCUUUCUUAGUGUUCUUAGCCACGUCGUGAUUGGCCAGUGUGGUUUUCGAUUGUUUGCUUGGCAGAAGGCACUGAAUGACUGACUCAGUUUAAUGGACUUACGGCAUCUCCAAGGACAUUUGGAUUCGGUUGGGCCCCCGCUGGCUAACAUAAACUGAGGGAAGUGGUUAUGGGACCACUGGGGAGGCAGCAAAACCAGCAUUUUGAUAAAUAUCUUAAACACUCAAGGUGAUUCUACCCGGGCCCCUAAGAUUUUGAAAUAUAUAUUUGACAUGUUCAUGUGCACAAAUCAAGUUGUAGGCUGCUUCAUGCAUUUUAUUGCUGUCCAAAGAACCUCAUUUGAUCCAUGUCUGCCAUAUGAAGCCAUGAAAAAA